rnacentral:rRNA from 1 species
UACGGAGGGUGCGAGCGUUGUCCGGAAUCACUGGGCGUAAAGGGCGCGUAGGCGGCUUGGUAAGUAGGGGGGUGAAAUCCUGCGGCUUAACCGCAGGGCUGCCUUCUAAACUGCCAGGCUCGAGCACAGUAGAGGCAGGUGGAAUUCCCGGUGUAGCGGUGGAAUGCGUAGAGAUCGGGAAGAACAUCGGUGGCGAAGGCGGCCUGCUGGGCUGUUGCUGACGCUGAGGCGCGACAGCGUGGGGAGGCAAACAAGG